GGAGGAGCAAAGUUCAAGGGCUCAGCAAUGCAGAAUGGAGACGUUACUCGAGCAGCUCUGCCAAAGAUUUCAAAGUCUGGAACAAGCAAUAGAGAUGAGACAGGAGGUCCCAUAUCAUGACUUGCUGCUUUCCAGAAGAUACCUGGAGAACAACCAAGGGAUAGCCAUGCUGCGAGAAGAGAUGAUUCAUCUACGAGUCCUGGAAUUGGCAAGAGGGGAGAGGAUUAAUAAUAUAUGGACUGACUCCAGAUCUGCAUUUGAGAUAGGGCCUGCUCAGGGUGCUGUCCGGAACAGAAGAUUGUGUGAAGGUCAAGGCUUUUUCAGGUCAGUGUCUGGAGGAGAAGUGGAAUGGAUCACACCAGGUGCUUCUGACAACCUUCAUGCCAAUCAAGAUGAAAGAACAGCCUGCCUGGAUUCACUAUUCAGGAGGCAUCCAAAGGAGCAUGGACCUCAGAGCCAGUAGGACUAACGAUCUGCAAGUUCUGAUGCUGACCCUUGGUGUUCUGAUCAGUAUCAUAAUUCUGGCUCUAAUCUUUACCUUACCCUGGCCAUAGUCCCCACACUCACAUAAGCUGUCGCCGUGAUAUUUUCUGAAAAAUCCCUUCGCCAGGAUUUCUUCUCAUGGGAGAUUGGGAGGCCUUGGAGAGGAAUGAAAAUAAUAAUUAUCUAAUUGCUUUUCCCUGUUUUGCUGCUUUGGAAUUUCAUCUGGAGAUUGUUUGUCCAGCAGGUGGUUGGUUGAUUGGUCUCAUGUGAAUUGUUUUACCUAAUGACCAAUUCCUGUCCUGCUGUGUCAGACUCUGAGGAAUCAAUCACAAGUUUUCAUUAUCAUUCUUGUUAAGCCUUCUGUCUCUAUUGUUCUCUAUAGUUUAGUAUAGUUUGAGUAUAGCAUUCUUUAAUAUCAUAUAAUAUAUCAUAUAUCUUAUAUCAUAUAUAUCAUAUAUCAUAUAUAUCAUAUAUCAUAAUAUAAUAAAUCAGCCUUCUAAGAACA
rnacentral:lncRNA from 1 species